UAAGCAUGGUCGAGAGGCUAUGUUGAACAGCAGACGUCAGCAGAGGUUAUAGUACUUGGUAGCUUAAGAUAUCAAAGAAGGAC
rfam:Natranaerobius trueperi strain DSM 18760 ZB100020, whole genome shotgun sequence.